rnacentral:rRNA from 1 species
UACGUAGGGUGCAAGCGUUGUCCGGAAUUAUUGGGCGUAAAGAGCUCGUAGGCGGUCUGUCACGUCGGCUGUGAAAACCUGGGGCUCAACCCCGGGCCUGCAGCCGAUACGGGCAGACUAGAAUUCGGCAGGGGAGACUGGAAUUCCUGGUGUAGCGGUGAAAUGCGCAGAUAUCAGGAGGAACACCGGUGGCGAAGGCAGCCUCCUGGGCCAGCACUGACGCUCAUGCACGAAAGCGUGGGGAGCAAACAGG